UACGUAGGGGGCAAGCGUUGUCCGGAAUCAUUGGGCGUAAAGAGCUCGUAGGCGGUCUGUUGCGUCUGCUGUGAAAACCCGGGGCUUAACCCCUGGCUUGCAGUGGAUACGGACAGACUAGAGGUAGGUAGGGGAGAAUGGAAUUCCCGGUGUAGCGGUGAAAUGCGCAGAUAUCGGGAGGAACACCGGUGGCGAAGGCGGUUCUCUGGGCCUUACCUGACGCUGAGGAGCGAAAGCGUGGGGAGCGAACAGG
rnacentral:rRNA from 1 species